UGGGGGGGAUCUUUAUAAGUAGCCAGUAAUGAAAUUCAAGCCCAAAAUAUUUGGUUAGGAGGGGAUUCUAUUAAGGUGAUAAGAUGGAUUUAUAGAUAUGAUAUGCAAGCAACGCAAGAACUACCUAUUCUCAAGAAUAUUUUGAAAUGGAAAUAAACUAAAAGAAUCACCCAUGUUUCUCAUGUUUUACGCAAAGCUAAUCAGGCUGUUGAUUACAUGGCUAAU
rnacentral:lncRNA from 1 species